rnacentral:rRNA from 1 species
UACGUAGGCAGCGAGCGUUGUUCGGAGUUACUGGGCGUAAAUCGUGCGUAGGCGGUGUCUUAAGUUUGUUGUGAAAUCUCCCGGCUUAACCGGGAGGGUGCGGCGAAUACUGAGAUGCUGGAGUGCCGGAGAGGUAAGCGGAAUUCCUGGUGUAGCGGUGAAAUGCGUAGAUAUCAGGAGGAACACCUGCGGUGUAGACGGCUUACUGGACGGUAACUGACGCUGAGGCACGAAAGCGUGGGUAGCAAACAGG